rnacentral:rRNA from 1 species
AUUGAACGCUGGCGGCAGGCCUAACACAUGCAAGUCGAACGGUAGCACAGAGAGCUUGCUCUCGGGUGACGAGUGGCGGACGGGUGAGUAAUGUCUGGGAAACUGCCCGAUGGAGGGGGAUAACUACUGGAAACGGUAGCUAAUACCGCAUAACGUCGCAAGACCAAAGAGGGGGACCUUCGGGCCUCUUGCCAUCGGAUGUGCCCAGAUGGGAUUAGCUUGUAGGUGAGGUAACGGCUCACCUAGGCGACGAUCCCUAGCUGGUCUGAGAGGAUGACCAGCCACACUGGAACUGAGACACGGUCCAGACUCCUACGGGAGGCAGCAGUGGGGAAUAUUGCACAAUGGGCGCAAGCCUGAUGCAACCAUGCCGCGUGUAUGAAGAAGGCCUUCGGGUUGUAAAGUACUUUCAGCGGGGAGGAAGGGAGUGAGGUUAAUAACCUUAUUCAUUGACGUUACCCGCAUAAGAAGCACCGGCUAACUCCGAGCCAUCACCCGCGGUAAUACGGACGGUGCAUCCCUUAAUCGGGAAUUACUGGGCGUAAAGCGCACGCCUGCGGUCUGUCAAGUCGGAUGUGAAAUCCCCGGGCUCAACCUGGGAACUGCAUUCGAAACUGGCAGGCUGGAGUCUUGUAGAGGGGGGUAGAAUUCCAGGUGUAGCGGUGAAAUGCGUAGAGAUCUGGAGGAAUACCGGUGGCGAAGGCGGCCCCCUGGACAAAGACUGACGCUCAGGUGCGAAAGCGUGGGGAGCAAACAGGAUUAGAUACCCUGGUAGUCCACGCUGUAAACGAUGUCGACUUGGAGGUUGUUCCCUUGAGGAGUGGCUUCCGGAGCUAACGCGUUAAGUCGACCGCCUGGGGAGUACGGCCGCAAGGUUAAAACUCAAAUGAAUUGACGGGGGCCCGCACAAGCGGUGGAGCAUGUGGUUUAAUUCGAUGCAACGCGAAGAACCUUACCUACUCUUGACAUCCACGGAAUUUGGCAGAGAUGCCUUAGUGCCUUCGGGAACCGUGAGACAGGUGCUGCAUGGCUGUCGUCAGCUCGUGUUGUGAAAUGUUGGGUUAAGUCCCGCAACGAGCGCAACCCUUAUCCUUUGUUGCCAGCGAUUCGGUCGGGAACUCAAAGGAGACCGCCAGUGAUAAACUGGAGGAAGGUGGGGAUGACGUCAAGUCAUCAUGGCCCUUACGAGUAGGGCUACACACGUGCUACAAUGGCAUAUACAAAGAGAAGCGACCUCGCGAGAGCAAGCGGACCUCAUAAAGUAUGUCGUAGUCCGGAUUGGAGUCUGCAACUCGACUCCAUGAAGUCGGAAUCGCUAGUAAUCGUGGAUCAGAAUGCCACGGUGAAUACGUUCCCGGGCCU